AAGAGUUUACCUGCAAAACGUCAUGUGCAAAAUAAUAAUUUUUCUCGCUUCUGUUUUUGUGAUCAUUAGCUCAAAUCGUAAUCGCGAUUAAAAAAAAUUUAUUAAUUGCACAGUCCUAAAAUCUUUUGAAUAGGCAAGUCCAGCGUCGCCGUGUAAACUAGCAAAGCUGCUUUCUCUGUGGAGCGGCGCAGUCUUUCCCCCGCUAGUCUCGCUUUGCCAGACCCUCCUCCAAAGUGCGUUGGAGGAGGGUCUGGUCUACUCCACACAGCAUUCCGGGACGGGAGGAAAACCGGGCUCUGGUUUAUUGGCAUUUCUUUAAACCAAUCACAAUCGUCUUGGGCGGCGCUAAGCACCAGAGAAAAGCCGCGGCGCCGCUGCUAAAUAGGUUCGGAAGGAACUUGUUUUGGUGGAACGUGUUCGUUCAAAAGUUGUCUUAGUCGUGCAACAGAAAACUCAGAUUGGACAGAUAGUCUAGCUAGCUGUCUGGAUUUACCCUGCAGAGAUCUGAGGAGCGGUUAACCAUAGUGCUCAGAAAUCCACCGGAGUUUAGAAUGCCGACACAAAGGAAGCCCAAGGCAACGGAUAUCCGGCCUAAAUGAGUGAAAUUCUGCGGAUUUUCCGGCGGAAACGGAGCAGUCCCGGAAAUGGAACAUCAAGGACAUGGACUACAAUGCAGUCCAUUCAAAACAAUGCCGUCUAUACGCUGAACGUUUUUUUUUUUUUAAACGUAAAAGGAAGAAGUUUUCCGUGUUCAGCGUGAGCAUUGUCGUGUAAACGUAGCCUGAAGCGCUGCACGCAGACCAAAUGGAGACCGAGACCAGAGACGAGCACAAGCUCAUCACGGGUGGCUGUGAUUAGACUUUUAACUUUCCUUUACCAUCCAGUCCUUAUUUAUUUUUUACAACUUUCUCUGAUUUAUUUCAGAUCAAAUCAUCAUGGAAGGUAUUUAUAUUUUAAUCAUGGUGAGUUUCCUUAAAAAUCUAUUUCAACUUUUCAAGUUUCUUUUUGUUGCAUACAGCAGGUAUAUAAACGGCGAUAAACGGCACAGCCUGCGAAUAUCUGAACAGUGACACAUUCAUCAUCGUGUUGGCUCUGCACUCCAGUACGGUAGAUAUCGAAAUGACACAAUAAUUUUGGAACUAUUCUUAAGGUGGCAUGUGUGUGACACGGAGUAGCAUUCAGGAGAGGUUCGUAAAAUACUGCAGCUGCGCUGAUUCUCCGUGUCGGCGCAUUAUUUAUAUUGUGUUUAAUUUGUACGACAACAUGUUAAUGAUUUUGGGAAAAUGUAAAAGCUCUUGUCUUGUGAAGUGGUGUCUGUGAAGUAAAAGCGUGCACAUACAAAUCUGAUUGGCUAUCACACUAUCCUGUCAAAGCCUUUUAGAUUACAAUUGUAAUAUUCACAGCAAUGCGUUUUGAAUUGUGAAUAAUCCAAUCUGACAAAGAUCAUUUAUAAAGAUUGAUGUUCAGUAUGUAACCGCUUCUAAACAAAUCUUUGGUUUGGUGAAAUGAUGGUUGUUCUUACAAUCCUGCUGUGUUGUCAAGUGCUACAUUACAUAGAACACACAGUGAACCUUAACCCGUAUAUACGCAAUAAAAUCUUCUCAAAACAGAAAA